GCUUGGGAACAGGCCCGUCCUUGGUGAGAAGAGCAAAUAAAAGCGCAUGGCCUACUUCCAGCAACCUCAUUGUUUCUCACUUGGAGAUUAAAAUAAUAAAUACACAGGCACACGGAGGCUGGCGAGCGCGGGGGGAAUUCGGUGGCAUCAGAGCUGCGGCCCAAGGCCCCAUGCAGCAAGGGGCUGCCUGCAGGAGGCGUGUCAGGAAGGGUGCACGUAUGAGAGCAUACGGAGUUUUGCCUGCCUCAGGGCAGAACGUCAGCAGCUGGGCAUUCGUACAGAAGCUACCAAGAGUAAGAUGGUGGCAGACAUGGCAUCCGCUUUCUGUCCUCAGCCCAGUGGAGCUCCGGGUUCUGCAGAAAGGGAAGUCUUCAGGACUCCGACACUGUCCGCCUGGACCUAACGUUCUAGAGUCAAGACUGCACGUUCAUCCAUGCAGCGUCCCUCCCGACGUCCCGCCUCUGUGCUGCCGGUCCCCACGAGGCGCCCUGGUCACCUGGCUCCUCCUCCUCGCCCACGCCCAGGUACUCUCCGUCACUGUUCCUUAAGCCUUCACCCUAGUCCUUCCUUCCUCCCCAUAUCACAAUUGCCACCACCUCUUACGUUUGACAGAAAACAGGAGGCGGUAGAAGCAGCUCUGCAGGGCCUGGUUCCUGUGCAGGCUCUACCCUGGCUCUGAAGAAAAUCAAUGCUUCGGCUUUCAUUUCCCUGUCCCUUAAAGGAUGAGUUUGACAAGACAUUCGCGAAGGGUCCUCUGGCUCAUGUACAGGGUACGAGUCUCUGGUUCACCCCAUCCAGCCCGGCCUGAGGUCUGCUGUAUUCCUCACAGGCACUCAGCAGCCUGAGAAGAAAGGCCUCAUUCAGGAGGGGAACCCGGCCGGCUGGGAGAUGGCUCCCUCCACGCGCUCCCUGGCUCCCUUCCCUGCCAGCCUGAACUUUUACUGCCUGCAACCUUGUGACUCUGGAUUACCUGACCUUGGAUCCUGCCAGCCCUGCACUGCACAGGGACCUCUUCUGACCUGCCGCCUGUAACUGGGGCAGCUCGCCUGCUGACGCUGGACCCCGUUCUCUUUCCACCGACCAGGCUGCCCUGUGGUUGUACAACCGGGAUGCUGCUAGCUGGGCUCCGGAUCCCUCCUGGGCCGUCACCAUGACCCCUAUGGGUGCGCCUGCCUGGUCCCUGGUCCCUGAAGUGUCCUCUGAGUUCACCCCUGCUGCUAAGCAGGAUUUAGUCUGUUUGUGAUUGAGUCGUUCACUCCACAAACGUCCACUAUGAUGUCUACUCCAUGACACGCGCAGCUCUGAGGCAAGGGAUAUUUCAGGAUGGAAUAGAAACACUUCUCAUCAACACAUCCCAUUUGCCAGGACAAACUUCCCUACUCAACCAAGACGUCAUCCAGCUCACCACUGUCAAAUUCUUUCACUCAUUUAUUGGGCAUUUAUUAUGUGCCAGGCACUCUAGUAAAAUAUCAAUUCUAGGAAGUGCAACUUCCAUGUAGUACACUGGUUAUUUAUUACACAGCCUGAGCUCUGCAGCCAGAACCUCAGUUAUGGGACCUUCAGUAGUUACAAAACCUCUCUGAGCCUUAGUUUUCUCAAUUGAAAGUAGGGGUAAUAGUAUUAACUAACUGCCAAAUGUGUCAGAGGAAUAAAUGAGACAGUCCAUGUAAAAUGCUUUGAAUAGUAUAUGGCACACAGCACACACUUGGAUAUUAAUAACUUUUAUUUUUAUGUGACUCCUAAAGGUGCCAACAUCUAAAUAAAUGUGCCAAGAACUUUGAGAGUCCCCGUUCCACCUUAUACAACCAACAUCCCAAUGGCGCCCUUGUAUGUGAAUAUUGACAAAAUGAAGCCCCAACUUCAACAUCACUAGCAAAGAAUAACAGACCCCUGUGCCAAGGACUAUGUAUCACCUCAGUGCUUUCACACGGGCAAACC